CUCUUUUUCCCCCUACACCAUCUCCUUCUAAAUUGUUUGAGAACCUUUUUAUAGAUAGGUUUGUUUAUACUAUAACAAUUCUCGGUACAUCAUUUUAAAUGUUUUCUUGUUUAUUUAACCAAUUGAAGCUGUUGUUUUGACUGACAAUUAGACUUGUAUUUGACAUUACAAUUGUUAAAAACACUGUAAUAAGAAAGUGACAAUUUUCAUCAAAUAUUUUCUUAAUUUCAUUUCAAUAUCAGGUCAUCAUACUCAAACCCAUUUGGGAAAAUGUAUUGUAAACAUUUAAUCUUGAUAUGCACAACAUCUUGGUAUGUAAAAUGACAUCGGCAUUAGGGACAUUAAACAUACAUCAUGUAUUGUAUCUAUUAUGUCAUUUUCCUCCUUGAGCUAGUACUCAUAAUAACCACCUCAGCUAAUAUUCCUAAUAAUGGUUUGUUUCAUUUUCUUAAGCAUUUAAGUAUGCCUCUAGGAAGCUGAUGUGAAAGCUGUUGUGAAUACGGUAAUAUGGUACAAUUAAUAUGAAGAAAAUAAUGAUGCAAGUCCUCCAGUCUCAACUUUUUUUUUAUAUUCCCUUGUUUUUUAAUCAAUAAAGCAGGAUGUCUCAAUGGUGUAGUUGGAGGAUGUUUAUUAUGUUGAGUCGUGAAUCAAAAUCGAAUUAGAAUUUAUAUGUAUAGCCCUUUUUCAAGUAAUGUCACAGAGGGUUCCACAUACACCCAUAGAUUUGCACGUUACCAACCUAAAUCAAUACGCUUCCCCAAAAUGCACAGCAACAGUCAAGCUUUUUCUCAGUUUGGUUGAAAACAGGUAGUUAUAGACAGUUUAAUAUCAGUCUGCCUUCCUGAUGCAUCAGCAUUUUAUUCAGUAACUUGAUUGGAGCUAUAAACAAGAUCCUCUGAGUAAAAGUCUAAUUUGGGAUGGGAAAUGUCACAUGUGAUGGCAAGGCUCCACCAAAUAAUAACCUUACUUACCCAACAAAGGUCAAAGCAGGGAUUGGCUCUUCAAGGGUUUAUAUUCAAAGCCAAAUAUCUCAGUGGUAAAUCCACUUCAGCACCAAUGUCAGAAUUGUGAGGAUGGAGGGGGGUACGUGGGGGAAAGGGGGACUUAUAAGGUAAAACGACUGUGCUUCACACCGCAACAUGAGUAGGCACAUGCAAAAUAACCUACAGCUGAUGAUUAUGACACAAAGGACUUUAUGAUCCUUUAUCAGUAAAAUGAAUAAUAAGCUGCCACUCAAGCUAAAUCAGUAUCAGUCUAAAUAACAUCUUAUAUGGCCUAUUGAGUCAAGAACCUUUUUUUAGCUAUGUUGUGUGUGGUUCUAACUUUAUUUAAGACUGGUCCAGCUAUUAAAAAUAGAAUUAAGAAUAAAAAAUAAAGUUAAUGAUGCAGAAAAAUACAUAUAGACACUCUUCAAACUAUUGUUCGAAGGAAAUGUAUCAAGCUUUUUUUGUAAAGUAUAGCAUUGUCUUUAGGAUGUGUUGUUCAGCCAUGACAUUGAAAGAAGGGGUGGCAUCAAUCUUGACAACGGAGGAGCAGCUGUUGUCUGUUGAUGUUAAGACAUUCACUGAAGUGAAACUUUAACCUGCGCUAUGUAAUCCAGUACAUUGUUGAAGUUGUUUAAGGCGCAGUUUUAAACUGCAUUACUCAUCUAUCACUAUUCUUAGAGAAAGUACGAUUGUGAAGACUUAUGUACUUGUUUCACUGUCUGUAUGAACAUGAAUCAUGUAAUUCAUAACAUAUUGUAUGUAAAUGUACUCCCAUAGAUUGUAUUGUUUUGACUGUUUACCCUUCUUGACCUUUACCAAGGUCCUUUCCUUCCACUGUUGGUUCUAAUAAUAGUGGCCAACAAUCCAUGGUCCACUGCACACUCACUGUAGUACACAUUUACUGGAACUGAGCCAAAAAUAUGUGGAGGAUCCCACACUGCAAGCUGGCUCCCAGACAUAGGUUAAGAGGUUACUCAACAGCUUGUUGUGGUGUGACACUCCACGCUCCUCCAAUGUCUGCUCUGAGUGUUUCCACAUCACACAUGGCAUUGACUUGGACUUCAAUCAAAUAGGCCACUCUUCCAGAUACCAUAACAUAUCAGAUGGUGUAGGUGUGAAAUAUUUGCCUUGGGGGAGCUCCUGAGCAAUCUACUACAAGGUUCACAUCCUAAAUAUAGUUUGGGAAUGACCCUGAUUGUUCCUGAUUGACACAUUACUGGGUUGGGUUCCGGUUCAUUUUAGCAGUAUAUUUCUGCAUAGAGAAUGCUACAGUAUUCAAUUCCCUCUAGUAACAAAAGGGAAAGGAUUUUUAUUAUUUCGUAAAAGCUCAAAUGUUAACAUAGAAGCAGAUGAGGAUGAUGCAUCUUUAUAUUGUCUGCAGGUGGAGCUGUCAUGAUAUGAUUAACAUACAUCAUCAUUUAGUUGGUAAUGAGUGAGGCUAAAAAGAAAAUGUAUUCAAAGUAUGUGUUAUUUUUACUUUGGUUUCAUAACCGGCUACAAUGCCAAACAAACAAUGUGUUCAACUAUAUGAAGGCGCCAGCACCAUGGUCUCCUGCAAAUAUAAUGACACUGCUCACAAUCUGCAGUGGUAUUGCCAAUACCCAGGACUAAAGCCACAACACAUUGUGCCCAUUGUGAAGUCCAGUGACUUUUUGUUAUGGUAAGUGGUGGGGUAGGAUCCAAAUGCAGGAGAGAUAGCCAGGCAGAGCGUGAAACAAGGGUUUAUUCUUGAACUCGAAAAAAGACAGAAUACUCACAGUGCAAGAGCAAGGACAAGACAAAAACUGGACACGAAACAGGAACCUAAAUACACAGACCAAAACAAGACACAGGUGGACACGAUAAGACUGACGAGAACUGAAAUCACUUCACCAGACACAGGUGAAGACAAGAGGUGUGUUUGACCUCAAGGCAGCCUGAGAGUGCCAUUGGCUGCUUUAAGUCAGCCGGGCUGCAGGCAGCGGCUGCCGGCGACGCCGGCGGCUGCAUGAAGUCGAACACACCUAAUGACAGACACAGGGAAGCACAGGGAAGCACUAGGGCAGGGCAAAACCAAAAACACAAGGGUGCACGGCUGUGGCCAUAACACUUUUAUCAUCAAUGUCGCUCCAUCAUAUCCACACAUCUAUAAAACUAGAGGAGAAGAAAAUCUCCUCAGCUAAAUUGAGAGACUUUUCUCUUUAUUUCUCUCCCUUGGAGACCAUAGUGACCGGAAAGAAAGCAACACUUAAAACCAUCAUGACAUAAUUUCUUUAUGAAGCACUCGUUUUGGAAGGAGACUGUACUAUUCUCUCCUGCAAGGUUAAAUAUUCCCCUGGGAACAGCCUUCUAUCUAUGGUAUCAGCAAUACCCCAAAUCAGCUCCUCAGUUGUUGAUAAUGCAGCAUCGAAAAGUGAAAACAGGGAUCACUCUUAAUCACAAAGAUAGAGAGCGCUUAGAUCUGGUGCUCUCUUCUGUUUAAGUGACAGAAUCUGCUCUCUACACCUGUGCUUAGAAGCCAACAGUGACAGGAAACCCAGACAACAUGCACAAUAUUCACUCUGUUUAGAAAUGAACACUGAUUAGAAACAAUCUGCAGGGGGUGCUGUUUACCUGGGCACACUGUGUGAUCAUCAUUCAUUCGUUUGUUGGUGCGGUGCCUCUUUAUAUUGCCUGCAGGGGAACCUUCCAUAUUGACUGGGGGUCCUGAUUCAGAAGUGCAUCUUGCACAUUGAAAAAGAACAGAUUCAGCUGCCCAUCUAUCUUAAUAUUUCUGUGACAAAAUGUUGCUUUCUUUAAUUCUGCUGUUGGCGAACCUUAAAGCAGUAACUUCUGAGGAAAUAAUUACACCAUUCGCUGAUUCUGUUCUGGCUUCAGAAGGAAAACCUGUUCCUCUCUCCUGCAACUACUCUUCUGGCAACACUUUGCACCUUCAAUGGUAUCGGCAAUACCCCAAAUCAGCUCCUCAGUUGUUGAUAAUGCAGCAUGGAGAAGUAAAAACGGGGAUCACUCUGAAUCAUGAUAAAGAUGCAGAACUCUUGGAUCUGAUCAUCUCCUCUGCUGAAGUGACAGACGCUGCUCUGUACUACUGUGCUGUGGGGCCCACAGUGACAGGAAACACAGACACACUGUACAAAAACUUGACUUGAAGGUGUCAAAAAACAAAACACAAAGGAGGGGCUUAUGUUCAGAGGGAGGCCACUACAUAAGUUAAGUGGAGAUACAUUGAGUUUGUAUUACAAGGUGUCAUACUGUCUUUUCUUCUGAAAACAACAUAUUUUUUGAGUGUGUUACAGCUCCAAGAUACAGUGUCUUUUCCAAAACAUGUUACUGUACUUCAUAUUUUUACUUACCAGACUUUCAGGUAGGAGAUUGACUGAAUUGUGGUUGUAUACUGUAUGUUGGCUUGAAUGAAAUGUUGGAUGAUCAUCAUUAAUAAUGUAUUGUAUCUUCACAUGUAAGUACUUUGUCUUUAUAGGUAUCAUCAGUCAAGACCUCACUCCAGUGAAGAAUGAAGUGAAGAGUUUAGAGAGUGACACUGUUACAUUGUCCUACAGCUACUCCAAAACUGCUGCAGCUGGAGAUGAAUUCUACUGGUAUCGACGAGAUCAUGUAAAACCACCUAGAUUCCUUGUGUCAGUCUUAGGAUUUGAGUCCUCAAAUACAACUAGCAACCUCAACAAUCGAAUAUCUGCUAACCUGAACAGAGAGAACCGCCUGAAUCUGAUCAUCUCUUCUACUGAAGUGACAGACUCUGCUCUAUACUACUGUGCUGUGAGGCCCACAGUGACAGGAAACACAGACACACUGCACAAAAACUACAGGAACUGAAGCACUUAUCAAUCCUCAUACCAUAGUUGUACCCUCCAUCAUCAUUCUCCAUGUGUGGUAACUAUUAAACCAUUCUAAUUGUUACUAUAAAACAACUGCAUUUUCCGUCAGGACACUAGAAAUUCCUAUAGUGCAUUUUAAGAUUGAGCUCCACAAGUACAGUUGGUUCCUUUAAUCCCAACAAUGGCACUGCCAAGUAUACAAUCUGAAUGUGCAUUUAUAAGAGGGUUGACUCUUACAUGAUAAUAAACAAUAAAUUGUGUAACCUCCAACAGACUGAAUCUUGACUAAGAAUCAGUGGUACCUGGGACGUAUUCCUCACUAUGGGUUAUUCAAUUAAAUGAACGAGGGGGGAGGCGGCGGCGUAUGAAAAGAAUGCACUUUAUUUAAAAUACGGCACAAUCCUAUAAGGUGCUCACACGAGCCACUAAUACAAAGUGCUGCACCAAGGGUGCGAUGUUGCUACUAUGCCUGCUACAAAAUAACCAAGAUCAAAUGAUCAUAAGUAAUCCCCCCAAAAGAGGGCACUCUCACGGCAAAGAAAUAAAAAGAAAGGAGUAGGCCCCGCCAAACAAAAUAAGUAAAAAACAAAAGACAACUUGGAGGUGGUUUCACACACGUAGAGCAAAAGGCACACAUUGUAACAGAGCAUAACUGCAAACCUUGAGCUGCUGAAGUACUAGUUGCCCGGGAACAAAUGUGUUUCUAAGGACGUGUAAUAAAAUGUAGGUAUUUUUCAUGUCUUUAAAAAUCUGGAAGUAACAGUAAAGCUCAGCGCUGCAACCAGCUUCUCACUGAUCAGUACUCUACUUUAGUGCCAGGAGGAGGCAAUCUAACAUCAGAAACAACUUCCUCCUGUACAUAGACAGUAGUGUGGAUCUUUGUGGAAGUUAGAGUCUAAUACUCAUGUUUGAGGUUGAAUUGUUUCAUUGUUGUCAGUCCCUCUAAGGAUGAUGUUUUUUGUGCUCUUUGAAUUUUUUCUUUCACUGGUUAGUUUAUAAUUGUUUGUUAUUGUAUCCAUUAUUAUAUAAUCCAUACCUAUAAAGUAUUUAUAUUUGACAAAUUAAUUAAUUCAUCAACAAUAAUAAUAAAAUGGUUAAACUUCGCAAGUUAAGAAAAUCUACUACUUCUGAACAACUUGUUUUUGAGGGAGAAACAGCUACUCUUUCUUGCAAUUACAGUGGCUCUGUGGGUUCUGAUACUUUACUGUGGUAUCAACAGCAUUGCAGAUCAAUACCACAAUACCUGAUUCUGGUCAAUGAAGGACAAUCAGUCAGGCAAUGUGAUGAUGUAUCAGACUGACAGCUGAUUGGAAAGAAAGUUGUGAAAAUCCUGCCAAGAAUAAUGACCACAUCAGACACUGUGGUAGUUUUUCUCUGAGGCAUGAAGGUCAGAAUAUGGAACAUUAGUAGACUGAACAAUAGUUACAGUAGAAGCUCAUACAAAGAAAUAUAUAACAUGAACAGGUAGUAAGGUAAUAGCUUAUCUACCGAUUAAGAUCAACAUAGGUAAGUGGGAAAUCCUUGAUUCAUCCCACAGUCACCCAUAAAUACAAUACAUUGACAUCCACUUUAGUGUCAGGAGGAGGGGCUUUGGUUAGGGGUACUGGGUAUGUUAUUGUGAUGGUGGAACGCAUUUCUCAAAUCUUUCAGCUGAUCCCUCUG